rnacentral:rRNA from 1 species
CCUACGGGAGGCAGCAGUGAGGAAUAUUGGUCAAUGGGCUUACGCCUGAACCAGCCAAGUCGCGUGAGGGAAGACUGCCCUAUGGGUUGUAAACCUCUUUUGUCAGGGAGCAACGCCGGCUACGUGUAGCCGGACUGAGAGUACCUGAAGAAAAAGCAUCGGCUAACUCCGUGCCAGCAGCCGCGGUAAUACGGAGAAUGCGAGCGUUAUCCGGAUUUAUUGGGUUUAAAGGGUGCGUAGGCCGCAUGUCAAGUCAGCGUGAAAAUGCCGGGGCUCAACCCCGCCCUGCCGCGGAAACUGGCGUUCUUGAGUGGGCGGGAAGCAGGCGGAAUUCGUGGUGUAGCGGUGAAAUGCAUAGAUAUGACGAAGAACUCCGAUUGCGAAGGCAGCUUACUGGAGCGGAACUGACGCUGAGGCACGAAAGCGUGGGUAUCGAACAGGAUUAGAUACCCCUGUAGUC